rnacentral:rRNA from 1 species
UACCAGCACCCCGAGUGGUCGGGACGUUUAUUGGGCGUAAAGGGCUCGUAGGCGGUUUGUCGCGUCGGGAGUGAAAACACUGGGCUUAACUCAGUGCUUGCUUCCGAUACGGGCAGACUAGAGGUAUGCAGGGGAGAACGGAAUUCCUGGUGUAGCGGUGAAAUGCGCAGAUAUCAGGAGGAACACCGGUGGCGAAGGCGGUUCUCUGGGCAUUACCUGACGCUGAGGAGCGAAAGUGUGGGGAGCAAACAGG